rnacentral:piRNA from 1 species
GUAAUCCAUUGGUCUUAGGAGCC